rnacentral:rRNA from 1 species
UAAAAUAUCCAUAUCACGUUAAAUACACCGGUUCUCGUCCGAUCACCGAAGCUAAGCAACGUUGGGCGCGGUCAGGGGUGACCGCCUGGGAACAGCGCGUGACAUUGGAU